UUCAUGUAAACGUCUUCAAACUUUGUAUACUUACUAAUUUUGAGGUGGUCUUUUUAGUGGUUUGGUUCAUUUCUUAAUUUGGGCACUUUUUAACACUCGUCCCCAGUCCACUCAUCAACUUCGGAAUGGCUAAUUGGGUCAAAAAUGAAUAAACGGCAAGGUCUAUAUUGUCAUCUAAAUUUAACCAAAAUUUGAUCAAUUUGUCCUUGGGAAAUGUCCA